AGGAAAAGAAACUAACAAGGAUUCCCCUAGUAACGGCGAGUGAAGCGGGAAGAGCUCAAAUUUGAAAUCUGGUAGCCUUCGGUUGCCCGAGUUGUAAUCUAGAGAAGUGUUUUCCGUGCCGGCCCAUGUACAAGUCCCUUGGAACAGGGCGUCAUAGAGGGUGAGAAUCCCGUCCUUGACAUGGACCCCCGGUGCUUUGUGAUACACUUUCAACGAGUCGAGUUGUUUGGGAAUGCAGCUCAAAAUGGGUGGUGAAUUCCAUCUAAAGCUAAAUAUUGGCGAGAGACCGAUAGCGAACAAGUACCGUGAGGGAAAGAUGAAAAGCACUUUGGAAAGAGAGUUAAACAGUACGUGAAAUUGUUGAAAGGGAAACGAUUGAAGUCAGUCAUGCUCUUGGGACUUACCUCCCUUGAGUGGGGUCAACAUCAGUUUUGAUCGAUGGAUAAAGGCACGGGGAAGGUAGCACUCUCGGGUGAACUUAUAGCCUCGCGUCAUAUACAUUGAUUGGGACUGAGGAACGCAGCAUGCCUUAUGGCCGGGAUUCGUCCACGUACAUGCUUAG
rnacentral:rRNA from 1 species